UGGGGAAUUUUGGACAAUGGGCGCAAGCCUGAUCCAGCCAUGCCGCGUGCGGGAAGAAGGCCUUCGGGUUGUAAACCGCUUUUGUCAGGGAAGAAAUCUUCUGAGUUAAUACCUCGGGAGGAUGACGGUACCUGAAGAAUAAGCACCGGCUAACUACGUGCCAGCAGCCGCGGUAAUACGUAGGGUGCAAGCGUUAAUCGGAAUUACUGGGCGUAAAGCGUGCGCAGGCGGUUUUGUAAGACAGAGGUGAAAUCCCCGGGCUCAACCUGGGAACUGCCUUUGUGACUGCAAGGCUUGAGUGCGGCAGAGGGGGGAUGGAAUUCCGCGUGUAGCAGUGAAAUGCGUAGAUAUGCGGAGGAACACCGAUGGCGAAGGCAAUCCCCUGGGCCUGCACUGACGCUCAUGCACGAAAGCGUGGGGAGCAAACAGGAUUAGAUACCCUGGUA
rnacentral:rRNA from 1 species